GAUGAAGAACGUAGCGAAAUGCGAUAAGUAAUGUGAAUUGCAGAAUUCAGUGAAUCAUCGAAUCUUUGAACGCGCAUUGCGCCGGCCAGUAUUCUGGCGAGCAUGCCUGUUCGAGCGUCAUUUCAACCAUCAAGCCCCAGGCUUGUGUUGGAGCCCUGCGGCUGCCGCAGCCUCCCAAAACCAGUGGCGGGCUCGCUAUCACACCGAGUGCAGUAGUUUACUCUUCGCUCAGGGCGUGUGGCGGGUGCUAGCCGUGAAACCCCCAACUUCUCAAGGUUGACCUCGGAUCAGGUAGGAAUACCCGCUGAACUUAAGCAUAUCAAUAAGCGGAGGA
rnacentral:misc_RNA from 1 species